CAGUAGCCGCGGUAAUACGAAGGGGGCUAGCGUUGCUCGGAAUGACUGGGCGUAAAGGGCGCGUAGGCGGCGAUCAAAGUCAGGCGUGAAAUUCCUGGGCUCAACCUGGGGGCUGCGUUUGAUACUUGAUUGCUAGAGUGGGGAAGAGGGUCGUGGAAUUCCCAGUGUAGAGGUGAAAUUCGUAGAUAUUGGGAAGAACACCGGUGGCGAAGGCGGCGACCUGGUCCUUUACUGACGCUGAGGCGCGAAAGCGUGGGGAGCAAACAGGAUUAGAUACCCCAGUAGUCCCUGUCUCUUAUAU
rnacentral:rRNA from 1 species